GCUGGGAUUACAGGCGUGAGCCACUGUGCCCAGCCAAAUAUUUAAAGUUUUUUAAAUUCAGGCUGGUUACAUGACCUUUCGAGGUGACAUAAGAUGCUGGGUGUUGGGCAUGUAGGUAGCAACUGGCACGCUGUAUGCAGGGAACACUAAAAUGGCUCAGGUACCUGAGGAAGAAAUUUACAUUGGGGACUAUUGAGAAGUAUAAUUCAAUGGGCUAGCAAACCAAUGAGAGGCAACUGAAGACAUUGAAGGAGAGGUGGUGGAAGCUGGAAGUGGCAUAGGAGACAACAGGAACUGUAGCAAUUUUUUCAACAAGGAAGUAAAACUCAGAUGUUGGAACUGAAACCAUCUUUUACCAUACUCUUUCAUCUUGGAGUCAUCACUCUCAAAUAUGGCUCCCCAGAGAUGCUCCCUUCUCGUAUGAUAUUAGAAUUAGUUGUAUCACUUAUUUGCUAGACUGGGCUACAGAAUAAGAACACAGACUAUGUCAACCCCUCUAUCCUCUUAGAAUCUGGCAUGGGAUCAGGCACACAUUGUUUGAUUUCAACUGGCAAGGCCAUGGCAAUCAGGCAGACAGGUUAGCUAGAAAAUGGUGAAAAAAUGGCACCAAAUUAGGGCAUCACAGCACCAGAUAAAACUAAGCAGAGAUUCACCUGAGGUGGCCCGAGGCAGCAGAGCCGGAGGGGCCUGACUCUGAUCCUACAAAGGGGAACUCAGAAUCAUCACUGUGAAGGUGAGAAGAGCCAUCAAUUCUAAAGGAUGAAGGAGGAUAAACUGAUAGAAGAAAAAUGAGCCAGGACAUCAGAAAGAAAAUUAAAAACAAAGUGGAAUACAGUGUGAAGAUUGAUUUGGGGCAAAAGAUUUGAAACUAAGACCAUGAACAAUGAGAUUCGUUAAUGGAGUUUCCCUUUGUAUGAUGCCUAGACCCAGCAACAGGGCAGUUGCAGUGAUUUAAGGAUGACUCACAGGGAUGGAUACCUGUUGAACACACCUUAAAAAGGUGAAAGAAAGGUAGGAAGGAAACGAGAUAGAUGUGAGAAACAUAGAUAAGGACAGGGAACUGAGGAAAGGGAAAAAGGAAAUAAUCCAUGAUAUUUUCAGAAAUGAUUUAUAACAGGGAUUGGUAAACUAUGACCCUGAGACAAAUUCAGUAUACUGUUUCUAUAAAUAAAGCUUUGUUAAAUCACAGCCACACCUAUUCAUUUAAGUAAUAUCUAUGCCUGCUUUCAAACCAUAGUUGCAGGGUUGUUGCAAGAAAGAUUAUCUAGCUCACAAAACCCAAAAUAUUAACUAUCUAGCCCUUAACAGAAAAGGUUUGCCACCCUAGUCUAUAGUAAAGGAGUAUUGCAAUAUGGAUGCUAAGUGGCUAAAGAUAAAGCUGACAUUCUAUAUCAGGGCCAGAAUUUUGAAUGCCUUGCUAAGGUGUUAGAACUUUCUCUGCAGGCAAUAAGGAUCCAUGCAAAUAGCCUAAAAUUUUUCUCUACAUAAGCAUAAUUCAAAACCAAUCAAAGAACUCGACAGUGGCAAUCAAUGUGGCACAUGAACAAUAAGAACACUACUGGCAUGUUUAAUCAACCAAGCUCUCUUCUGGCUUCAACUGCCUAAGACUUAAGAACUGUAUGCUGGUCACCAGUCUGCCAAAUUAGAGAGUCACAAUGCCACUGUGGUCUUUAAAUUUCUAAUGUCCAAAAUGGGGGAAAUAAUCCCACCUGUGGGCUUAUUAUGAACAUAAAAUUUAGAUAAUAGAGAAAAAAAUAUAUUAAAUAAAUAAAAUAUUUUACAAAGGUCUGACAUCACUCAUUCACUUACUCAAUGAAAAAAAAUGUAUUUAGUGCCUGUUGUGCGCAGAGGAAUCCAGAGAUGAGGGAGAUUAAGGCCCAUAGACUAGAAGGAAAGAUGGGAUGCAAACGGCAGUGCCAAGUUCACACAUAAAGCAAAGUAGGGAGGAAACCACUCAGCUUGAGAAGAAGUAGGCUGUCAGGAAAAGGGUCCAUAGGAAGGGUUUCCAGCAAGGAAGAAAAGAUCAUGAUGCUGAGGAAGGAGAUGAAGCUGCUUUCUAUGUACAACAAGUGCAAAGGCCUAAUGUAGUUCAAAGUGAGUGGCACCUAGAAGCCAACUGUGGAUGCAAACAGAAAUGAAGCAAAAGAUGGAGGGAGGAUAUGAAAGGUUUUCUAUGCUAUGCCAAGGAACUUGGACUUUAUCCAUUGGAAGUAGUAAGCCUUUGAAGGAUUUGGCUUCCAGGAAAGACAUGGUCAGAACUGGGUCACAAAUGUCUCCAUUGAUCAGACUGUUAGUUGAGAUUCCAGCUUUUCCUCCCCUGCAUGAAUGAGGGGGGCAGAGCUUAAGACUGGUCAUGACAGACCUCUCAAUGACCUUUCCAUUUCAGGCAAGUCAAGGUUACCACUCAUAGUCAUCGUCCUAGCAGCCAUUGGGGAAAAGCAGCUGGACAAGAGAAAAGAAUGACGGCACAUGAAACACCCUUGAAUAAUCCCCCUAAAUUGACCCCCGGCCCUGGGACAUCUGCCUACAAAAGAAACCGUGCCUGCAUCUGUGCUAUGUUUCACAUUUCCCAGGCCCGUAUCUUCUCCAAACGCAAUCUGGACAGCCAAUAUUUAUCAAGCAAGAGAGGAAACAAUCAACAUAUUCAGGAGAGGAUGGAAAGAGCAAGAUAAUUUCUUGAUUUGGGUUUACACAGUGGAUCAGGGUUUGUGUUGUUCUCUCACCUCCAAAAACCUCAUUGAUAUCUUCUCCACCUUAGAGGAAAAGAGGACUAGGAAGUUAUUGAUAUAAAAAGAAUUGCCAUGGGAAGGAUGCCCACGUGGGACAGUGCCAAAGCUCUCUCUCCUGAUGGGACCCUCUGCUAAUGGAACCACUUGACCAAGAAGGACAAUUUUUUAUUUUUGUUCCUAAAACUUCAGAGUGUCAUGGAAGAGAAAACAGGACCCGGUUGCAGUUUGACAUGCACAGAAGCCCAAAAAGGACUCAUUGCUGCUGAGAGGUAGUGUCAUCAAAAAGGAAAGUAUGGGUCUUGUAGGCAGAUAAAUGUGGGUCUAAAACUGGGUCCCAAGCCAUACCUCCUGUGUGACCUUAGGGCACAUGCUAAACUUUCCUAAGCCUCAUUUUCUCAUCUAUAAAAUGGGUAAUAUAUUCUAAUGAAUAGGUAAUAUAUUCCAAAUGCUAAGCACAGUAUUUAAUGUGUACUCAAUAUACCCCAUUAUUAAAAUUAUGCAUAGCUUAAUGCUCAAGAUGAGUUCCCAGGCCAUUUAUUUAGUAAAGUAUGAUGUGCUUUAAAAACAAAAAUAAUAAUCCUACAACAUGAAAGUCAUAAUACACUAAAAGAAAUGUUUGAAGAAAUGGCAUCCAUAAAAUAAAAUAAUUACUAUUUAAGAUUUUCUACAGAUUUCUUAAUUAGCAUAGAGUAGAUAUUCAGGAAAUUUUGUUGAAUGUUUAGAUAAAUUAUUGAGCUAAUUAAUUUAAUACAUGAUAUAGGCAGAUUUUAAGUCUAUAAACCUGCAUAAGACAAAGCAGUAUUAGUAUAAAGAAAGCUUACAUAGACCGACAAAACUGAAAAAGUACAAUUGCCAAAGGAUUGAAAGAACAACGCAGAGAAGAGGAAUUUGAAAUUACCAAUAAGCCUUUGAGCAAACCAAUGUUCAAACAAUACAUAGUUGUAUAAACACAAAUGCAGACUAAAGCAUUAUUCACUAUCGAGUUGUAAAAGAUUUUUAAACUAACAGCAUCCUAUGAUUGUUUGGGUGUCAUGAGAUGAAGCAAUUCAGGCACAGUUAGUCAGAAUGGACAUUUACUAGCCUUUCUGGAAAGCCACUUUUCAGCACUACUACAAGCCUUGAAUGAUCUGCGUAGUUUGACUCAAUAAUUCUACCCCUAAAAGCCUCCAAUAUAGAAAUAGGAGAGCCAUAGACAAGGAUUUAUCUAUAGAAAUGUUUGUCACACUAUUAUUUAUAUAGUAUCAAAAGAAGAAUAAAAGGAGAAGGAGGAGGAAAGAGGAGAGGAAGAAGGAAAACGAAGAAGAAGAGGAAAGAAGACUAAAUGUUUAGCAAGAGAAGAAUAUUUAAUAACAUAAGGCUUGCUGUUUAUAUACUUUUAAAUAAAAGUAGUGAAUAAAUAAUAUUAAAUAUCAGUAUGAUCAUAAUUUAGUGAAUAAAUAUUAGAUAGAUGUAGAUAGAUACGAGGACAAAUCCAAAAAUAGAUUAAAGACAGAACAUAAAUUCAACAAAAUAUUAUGUAGUUAUUUUGCAUAGUUAUUUGUGUAAAUAAAAAAAGGCUGCUUAAGAGAGAAUAAAAAUUGCAUUCUUAUCUAACUUCUAAAUAGCAAAAAAUGGGAACCCAGGACAUUCAGAUGCUUCUUAGCUUAUAAUGAGAGUAUGUUCCAAUAACUCUAUCUUAAGUUAAAAAACAUUUAAUACACCUCACUUCCUGAAGACCACAGCUUAGCCUAGCCUACUUUAAACAUGCUCAGAGCGCUUAUAUUUGUCUACAGUUGAGGAAAAUCUACCACAAAGCUUAUUGUAUAAUAAAGUGUUGAAUGUCUUAUGUAAUUUAUUGAAUGCUGAAAGUACACUUUCUACUGAAUGAAUAUCACUUAUACACCAUCAUGAAGUCCAAACAUCUAAGUCAAACCAUUGUGAAUUAGGAUAGUGAAGUAAUAUCAUCAACCAGCUAAGAGAAAACCAUGCUCAAUCUGCAGUUGUAUGCACAAAGAGGGGUAACUUGUGGGAACUAGAGGUUGACACAAUAGAAUUAAAAUAUAGGGCAGCAAUAGCAAGGGAGUUUGGAUGAAAAAUAAUCAGUUAAAAUAUUAUGUAUUUUUAUAUUGUUCAAGUGUAUAGAAAAGAUAAUACAUUUAAACUUUGUUAACAUGGUAUGUGUGUUAAAAUAGGUAGGUAACUACUAAAAUGAUAGUCACACAGCAUAUAAUUGCCAAAUAAGUAGAGGGAGAAAAAAUGGAAAAAAACUAAAUCAAUCACAAUGAAGGCAAGAAAGAAAAAAAAGAAAAGAAAAGAAACAUAAAAGACAGACGAAGUGGAAAGCACAUAACCAAAUUUUUCAAAUAAAUCCAAAUAUAUCAGUGCCUAGUCUGCUCCAGCUGCCAUAGCAGAAUAUCAUAGACUAGGUGACUUAAACAACAGAAGUUUACUUCUCGCAAUUCUGGAGGCUGGAAAUUUGACAUCAGGGUUCCAGUAUGACCGAGCUUUGGUGAAGGGACUCUUCCUGGUUUGCAGAGAGCCACCUUCUCACUGUGUGCUCACAUGGCCUUCCCUCUGUGUGUGCAUGGGGUGAGAGAGAGAGAGAGAAACAGCAAAAUAAAUGGUACUGAACAACAAAAUAGGAUGGCAAACAAAUCAGUGCCUGGAUUUUGUGACAGUUUGGUUUAUUGUUCAGAAAUAUUCACCCUUUUGCCAGUUCUACCAUGGGUGUGAUAACUGCCCCACCCACUGAAGUGACUUGUUUUAACCAACAGUAUAUGAUAUGAUUUGGAUGUUUGUCCCUGCCAAGUCUCAUGUGGAAAUGUGAUCUCCAGUGAUGGAGGUAGAGCCUGGUGGGAGGUGUUUGGGUCAUUCAGAUGAAUCCCUUAGGAAUGGCUUGAUGCCUUCAUAUUCUCACUCUGUGUUGCACGCAAGAUCCAGUUGUUUAAAAAAGUGUGGCACCUUCCCCCUUUCUCUCUUGCUUCCAUUCUUGCUCUAUGAUACCCUGCCUCCUCCUUUGCCUUCUGCCAUGUGUCGAAGCUUCCUGAGUCCCUCACCAGAAGCAUAGCUGGCCCUGUUUCAUGUACAGCCAGCAGAACUGUGAGCCAAAAUAAAACCUCUUUUCUUUAUACAUUACCCCGUCUCAGGUAUUCCUUUACAGCAAUACAAAAACAGACUAACACAGUAUAAGGAUAGAUAUAAUUGGAGCAAAGGCUUAAAUGUGUUUAUAUAUAUAAAAUGGGGUUUGGCCUUUUAUACUUCUGUCAUAAUGAUGAGAAAAACAUGUUCUAGUCUAUGGUCUAAAAAGGGUGAGAGACACAUGGAACAGACCUGAGCUUAACCUGUAAUUUGGAAAAAAAACAAACAGCAGAAUCCCACCUAGAUCAGCCAAACCCAGCCAAUUCACACAUGUGAAUCAGUGUGAAUCAGAAUGAGACACUGAGUUUUGUAGUAGUUCCUUACACAGCAUAUUUUGUGGCAACAGCUAACUGAUACAGAGCUAUAUUUAUAAACCUGUAUCAGCCAGCCCCAGAGAGAUCUAUAAAUAUAUGACUGACAGUAAGUCACCAAGUGUAUUGGGUAACAGCUAAGUGAUAUAAAGUAAUAUUUAUAAACUUCAAUCUUUAUGUUGAAAGAAUAACAACCAACAGUUAACGGAUUAGAAAAAUGACAAAGAAUGUACACAUGAAAAGAGAACAAUGACAAAAUCAGAAAGCAAUUACAUUCUAAAUCAACAUCCAUAUCUCUGCAAAGGACUUGAUAUACGCUUAUAGAUCCAAAAAGCUCAGCAAACCACAAGCUGGACAAACCCAAAGAAAUCUAUGGCAAGGUUCAUUAUAGACAAACUUCUGAAAAUUAAGGACAAAUAAAAAAAUUGAAAACAGUGGGAAAAAAAUGACUUUUUAUAGAGAAAAAAAUAUGAAUGACUGAUUUCUCAUCAGAAACCAUGAAAGCCAGAAAGAAGUGACGUAACACAUUUAAAGUGCUGAAAAAAAAUGUCAACUCAAAAUUCUGUAACCAAAAAAAAAUAUUUCCCUGCAAUGAGGGGGAUAUCAAGACAUUCUCAGAUGAAAAAUAACAAGAAUAUUUUGUCAACAGAACUACCCUAAAAAAAUGACUAAAGGAAUUUCUCCAAACAGCAAGGACAUCUGGAAGAAAGAACAACAGAAAGAGGAAAAUUACAGGUAAACCCUACAGACAAGCACAAGAACAGAUAACAACUUCUGGUGACCACUGCUUCACUCGUCAAAAGGAAUGAAUACAGCUAUGCACAUUAAUAUGGAUCAAUUUCAAAACACAAUGGCAGGAGAAAGAAGCAAGUCACAGAAAAACAUAUGUGGUAUGAUUCUGUUCACAUAAAGCCCAAACAGACAGAACUAAGCCUUAUAUCAUUUAAGAAAUUGUACAUAGGUGACAAACUUAUAAAGAAAUAAUAAAAUAAACAUAGAGAGUUUUACAUUUGCUUACAAUUUGGUCAAAGAAAAAUGGGGGCCACGCUGGGC
rnacentral:lncRNA from 10 species